rnacentral:SRP_RNA from 1 species
GGAGCAACAUCUGUGCGUGAAGCGGGUCAGGGGAGGAAUCCAGCAGCCCUAAGCGAUUUCAGGUGUGUGCUCUUUUU